rnacentral:rRNA from 1 species
UACGAAGGAUCCAAGCGUUGUCCGGAUUUACUGGGCUUAAAGGGAGCGUAGGCGGACUAUUAAGUCAGUGGUGAAAGCUUGCAGCUUAACUGUAAAAUUGCCAUUGAAACUGAUAGUCUUGAAUAUGGUUGAGAUGGUUGGAAUAUAUCAUGUAGCGGUGAAAUGCUUAGAUAUGAUAUAGAACACCGAUUGCGAAGGCAGAUCACUAAACCAUCAUUGACGCUGAGGCUCGAAAGCGUGGGGAUCAAACAGG